UACGUAGGGUGCAAGCGUUAUCCGGAAUUAUUGGGCGUAAAGAGCUCGUAGGCGGUUUGUCGCGUCUGCUGUGAAAACCCGAGGCUCAACCUCGGGCCUGCAGUGGGUACGGGCAGACUAGAGUGCGGUAGGGGAGAUUGGAAUUCCUGGUGUAGCGGUGGAAUGCGCAGAUAUCAGGAGGAACACCGAUGGCGAAGGCAGAUCUCUGGGCCGUAACUGACGCUGAGGAGCGAAAGCGUGGGGAGCGAACAGG
rnacentral:rRNA from 1 species